ACCAGUGUGGUGUAGUAGUUUGCACAUUGGACUACAACUCUGGAGACCAGGGUUCAAAUCCCUGUUCAGCCA